rnacentral:rRNA from 1 species
UUCGUAGGGGGCAAGCGUUGUCCGGAUUUAUUGGGCGUAAAGAGCGUGUAGGCGGCUUUACAGGUCCGUUGUGAAAACUCGAGGCUCAACCUCGAGACGCCGGUGGAAACCGUAAGGCUAGAGUCCGGAAGAGGAGAGUGGAAUUCCUGGUGUAGCGGUGAAAUGCGCAGAUAUCAGGAAGAACACCCGUGGCGAAGGCGGCUCUCUGGGACGGUACUGACGCUGAGACGCGAAAGCGUGGGGAGCGAACAGG